rnacentral:rRNA from 1 species
AUGCGUGAUCAGGUCGGCAUCGACCUGGAGGGUUUCCCACUCAGCCACGAGUUCUCGGACAACUACGAGCUAGAGGAAGAGGACGAGUGCGACAUCGAAGUGGAGCCCUUGUUCGAGGACGAGCUCGCCAACCAAACCGCCGGUCCUAAGACGAAGCGCAAGAACAAGCGCACGAAGGCAUACACGGCGGCCGAAGACAAGCUUCUUUGCGAGUGUUGGCGAGACAUGGGACAAGACCCCAAGACCAGCGCCGAACAAAUGCAUUCAACUUUUUGGAUCCGUGUCCACCGGGAGUUUCAUGAGCGCAAGAAGUUUCCACUUUACCAAAUCGUGAGCACGCACGGGUGGGUGUCCAUUUCCAAUUGA